ACGUAAGUAACUCUAAAGCCAAGCUACUAAUAACAACCACCAUCAGCUUUUCAUUACUGGGGAAAGGUUUCAGGAGAAUUUUAAGCCUGAUUUGCCUAAUUUCCUUAAGGAGAUCUCCAAGAUCCAAGAAUUGAACCAAGAAAUUAAUGGGAAGCAGACGAGAAUGCUGGUCUUAUUUCUACAAUAUAAAAAGGCAGCUAAGGGGCAAAAUCCCACAAGAAGCGUAUUAGACACAGGGAAUUUGUAAGCUUGGGGUCCUACUGGGUAGUUUUCCAAAUGAGGAAAGCACUUCAGAUGCCUGUUGGAGAAACGGGGAAAGAGAUGGCAUUUCUAUUCUGGUUUCAGUGGUGCUAGUCAUGCUGCUUUCCCAGCACAUCGGUACUAUAAAACUGGAAGAGCACACAAAACACUGAGGGGCCUGAGGUAAAAUGCUGAGAUUGAAUCUGUGUGUUGCAUGGGGCGUAGGGCAUGUUCUCUACCUGAACUACGCAAACCUUCCCUAGCUCACAAGCAUAAAGAAAGUCUUCAGGACCAUGCUGUGAAACGAAACCUGCACAUCGGUGAUGUGUGGUGCUCGGUGGCUUUGCAGGUGUGUGGUACCAUGUGACUUCUUAGAUGAGUCCGGAGUAGACUGUGCUGUGCUGCAGUCGUACUGUGUAAGAUCAACUGUGUUGCUGCUAUCACAGCAUAGCAAUGAUGACAAUGUUUUGGGAAUGUUUCCUCACAAUCUGACAGAAGUAAGAGACCAUUAGACAAGAACCACUCCCCCCGCCCCCAUCCACCCACCCACUUUCCAAUUAGCACCUUAUUUUUAUGAGAUGAUGAUUUGAUGUUAGCCAUAUAUCCAUGGAUAUGGAUAUAUUUAUUCAGUCCCCUUUCAAUACGGGAACCACACCAAGCAUGUUUAAGUUUGCUUUUGCUCCUGAGUCUGAGCACUUGGAGAUUAAAAGCUGAGUUCUCUGUUAAUUCCCUGCUUUUUUUGUAAUCUGCCACGAGGGACUGGACCAAAUGUCCUGCAGGGCACCAAGAGGGCUUGAUUUGUCAUUAUUUAAAACAAGUAAGUAUGUGCGGCUUAAGGCCAACUUUGGUCUCAUAUGGCAAGAGGAACUAAAAUCCCUGUGUGUUUAGUAUACAGUUUAUACACAUCUCCAGUACACAAGGUGGUGUUCAUUGCUCUGAAAUGGCUAAAGAUCAUCUUGAAUGAUGCUAAUGACCUUCUCUGAUUCCCUUUAAUUCCUUCACUCUUGCUCUAACCCUUCCUGGGAAGGAGAAGCUUAAAACCAACCCUAACCAGGGCCUUUACUGAGGGUAAUAAGACACACAUGGUACCAACUGUGUAAUCAAAGCAGCAACGCACAUACCAUCCAGCUGCUAAAUGAGAUGUGGAGACAGUAUGGUGGGUUGGGCAGGAUGGACAAUGAGUAAUAAUUCAGACCUGAAGUAGAUCCUUUAAGGAGAUAGAUUAUCAAGGUAAUCAAUAGCAGUAACCAUGGAAAACAUUCUCCCUCUCACUAUGACAUACAGAUUCUCAGGUGAGGAACCUAACCAGGGAUAAAGUGCAGGGCCACGGAAGAGACAGAGAGUAGAAGUAGGACUCUCCUUUCUGCUACUUGAUCACAGGAUAAUGUUAGGAAAAAAAUCUUUUUUCAGUGAGGCCUCCUUUUUAUAGGUAUCAUGUGCCUUCCUGACUCACUCUAGGUUUCUCCAUGCCUCUAUUUUUUUCCAGCAGAAGCAAAAUUGUCAGGAAGGACAGCCAGCACAUGGAUCCAUUGAGUGUGGACCCCUUCCCCUAAAGAUGUUCCUAGAGAUGGGGAAUGAGUAGCCACUGCUCCUCCACAGCCAAUGCCCUGCAAUGCCUGUUCACAUGUAUUUGCCCUUCUAGCUACCUUUCUGGGUUACUUAUUGGAUAUGUUAAUAGCAUCUAAAGCCAUCUGGAGGAGCUGAUAUUUAGCUAUUAUUCAAGACUAUGAGAAAGAAAAGAAACUGUAUCUGAAGAUGAUUAGAGAGCUCCCCUUCUGUCCCCUGACCUGUUAAGAAAGUGCCAUGUACUAAUAGCUUUAACUUCCCUUCCUAUUAUGCUCUGAUAGGAUUUGCCUUUUAAAGCACUCUGACAAGAUAAGACAGUAGGCUGCUGAACUGGAAUAAGUAAUAUGGGCACACAGAAGAUGUGCGUGUGUGUGUGUCGAGACAUACCAACCUGAUGGCUAAGGUAGCCCACUGUACCUCUCAUCAGAGAAAACAAAACCAAAAAUCAUUCCAAGUCUUGUAGGGAGAAAUUACCUCUUUCAUAAGUUAAUUGCGGGGACCAGGAGCAGAAAUUGUGGUGAGACAGAGCAAAGGGAGCCACAGUUCUGAGGAGAUGGACAGAAGGUCCAAGAGCUAAGAGCAAGCUAAGGUGCUCAGAGCAAGCAUCUGGGUAGCCUGGGGUCUUUGGGAGAUAGUGCUGUUAUUGGUGACUUCUUUAUGCUGAACAUAAAACUGGUGGUAUAGAGAGAGAGACUUUUAACAGAGCCAAGAGGCUCAUCCUAUUAAACCUAAUGAGAGCACAAUUCUAUUUAACGAGGAAAACUCUGUGGUUUUCCAGAGGAUCAGGAGGAGGCAAGACUCUACUAACACCUGAAUCUGAGGUCUUGCAUGGAAUUUAGAAAGAGGAUAGGUUUCAUAUUCACCCUUCUCCACUUGUAAGGAAGCUUGAUGGGACUACUUGCAUGUAUGUAGUAACCCACAUAUAUAUGUGUUUACACUGGAUCCUCAGCUAAGGGACAUACAUAAUGCCCAAGAGGGAUAUGGGUGGGAGGCUUCAUUGUUCUUCAGCCACACAUAAAAUUGGGUGAAGACUACACGCAAUUUGUAAAAUUGUCCUGGUGAAUUUGGAAAAGCCCCCAUCUUGAUUCUGCCUCUGUUGAAAUUAAGGGCAGUGUCAUCACUGAUUAUAAAAGGUGCAGGAUCAAUGCCUCGUAGGAUCUGGACGGAUUCCCCAGGGUGUACCUCUGUGUUGCAGCAUACACAUCCAACUUCCAAUGAUACUGAAGAUUUCCUUGUUGGGUUAGUUCUAACACCCACCAAAGUGAACAGAAAGAUUCCCACUGAGAGCUGAAUUUCUGAGUGCAGUGUUAUAGUCCUGAGGGCAGAACAAGAAUAAUUUGUUUAGGAGGGUCUUCAAAACACAUGGAUAAUGUAAUGAACUUGACUGGUGGUAUGGACCAUAGUGGAGAAGGCUGUGCCAUCUUAGCUCUAGCUUUAGACUAUGCUCUACAUAAAAGUUGGAAUUGCCUCCAUGCCCAGCUGCUCUUGUAGCAGGGGAAGAGGUCCUUAUGAAUUCAAGGGAGAGCAGCUUACCAGGAGAAGCACGAGGCUGCCUUAGUCCUGGCAUUGUGCUGGAAAACUGCUAUUUUUCUAAGCUUUGUUUGUUCUUUGCAGUGAAAUGUGUUUAACUAUCAGGAGAAAAGCUGUUUUCUUUUCCUUCUUAACUCCUGAGUGCAAAGCAAUAUUAAUAAGUAAGAGAAAAAUAAAUAAAAUAGAGGGAGGUGAGUAAGGUCAUCAAAAUUCCUAGGGAGCUGGCAGGACUGAAUUCAGAAAGUCCACAAUGAAAUGAAUGGAUCCCCCUCCCACGUGCACAUUUGGACUAAUGGGGGCAUCUGCAAGUAAGGGUGUACUAUUCAUUGGCAGAAUCAAUGGAAUGACACUAAUACAUAAAGAUUCAGAUGCUCCCAGGCUUGGUGGAAUAGGUGCUCCUUAUUCCAAUAACUGUACAUGGUUUCUUGUAAGUCAGGAGACAAAGGGUGGAGCCAGUGCUGUAGUUGCAAUGAGCUUUUGUCUGUUUUAAAGUUGGUUGUCUCUUGUCCAAGAGUUGAGCACAGAGUCAGAGUGAAGCAAAGGGUCUCUUUACAUUUCCAGAUUAAGUAAAGUCAACUGCUAAAUGUUGAAUCGAAAAAGCGACUCUUGACUGAUGGACUAGAAAAUGCUCAAAUGCACAAGUCACAAGUGCCAAGAUCUCAUACCUCAUGGUUCAGAAGAAGUGAAAACUGCUGCUGUAUAGACAUUCAACGGUACAUUAAGUGUCUCCAGGACACCAUCAGUGAUCCAUGUGGCCAGGAACAGCAAGUUCUGCAUGAGAUAAUUAUUCUAAGAUUUCAAAACAGGACCUGUUGCAAUUAAUGCAAGAACAGUAUUUGUGUCCUACAUGUCAAAGAGAGGACAGAAGAAAUGCAGUGAAGGAUCCAUCAAGUCUUCAAUGACGUUUUAGUAGUAAGCUAGGUAGCAUAAUACAGCUUAGCUUGCUGGGUUCCUAAGGAUGGGGAAAAUUGCUUGGUGCAGUUUGAUUAGAGAUGUGUUGCUUUUUUUCAAACCCACCACCAUCAAAGCCAAAUAUCUCUUCAGAGGUAUUUGCACCCAUAAAGCUGCAUGGGCAAAAAAAUCGAAACCAAAACCAAACCCCAAAACCCCACCUUUCUUCAUGCUGGGAUCAGAAAGUAAUACAAGAUCCUGAAACUUGAUCCAAGAAGCUCUCAAAAGCACCUGCCCUUCCAGAAAAUAUUGGCUGAAUGUUGAGCCUGAAACAAGACCAGAAAGUCAGCAAGGUCCCAUGAACUCUGUAUGGGAGCAGGGACAAAAUUCUGAAAGGGUUUUUAGCUCCUCACUGCUUGGCCUGGUACUGAGUGUUAACAGGAGCAUCUGGUUGCAGCCCUGAGUCUAAUGCAGUUAUUUGGCUAAGUUUUAUUAUUACAUCUUUGCCCCCCCCGUCCCACCAAGGAACCUACCUGGUUAUAUUAUGGAGUCUAAGCUGCAGGAAACACAAAAUUUCCCAGCUGACUGUAGCUAGACAGAGAUGCCACAAGGAAGAAAUGCGAUAAGAAUUUAAUUCUCAGUAGUUCACAGAUAAACUAUCUCCAGUUUUCUUCAGCUGGGACAAAUUGAUUGGUGAAGGUAUUAGAGUGUAACUUGUCUACCAAAGCUCUCCCAGUAUGCUUUAACCAUUCCAGAACAACUCCUCUAUAGAGAGACAUGAAGGAAAAGGUAUCUUUGUGUUUGGAUUAUCUUCUCUAAAUAGGGGAAUUAGUCUGAAAUUGCUAUUCUGGUUGAUUCCAUUUGAAUCUUUAGAAAGGUGCUUUACCCUGUAGAUCCAAAGCGGAAUCUGUUUUAUAGUAAAUGUAAAGUGAAAUAAUGGUGAGAGCAGUGAGACCCAGUGCAAUCAUUAAAUCAUUUAUACCCCAAUUCAGCCUGGUUUUGAGAGGUUUAAAUGAUGCACAGCAGGUAAUGCCAUCCUUUAAGUCAAAGGAAACACAUUCAUUUACUCUAAGUCACAGCAUCUGGGAAGACUGGGAUCUAUCUGCUUAGUUUUUUUGAAGGGAAAUUCUCUUGCCAGAGAAUUUUUUUCUUAGCUUGGGAUGAUUUUUCCAUUUAUUGUUCACUGAACAGUGGUACAGGUUUUGGCAAUGUCACCAUGUAAUCAUGCUUUAUUUGAAUGGGUAGACUUGAAUGGGCUUUGCUCCUAUGGUAACAGAUUUUUAGCUGCAAUUGUUCCUAGCUUUUUGAAGGUGCCAUUAACCAUUGUUCCCAGCAGCCUGGUUCUCUAUGUGGCUUGGGCUUUCCAAGACUGGAUCUCAAAAGUGUCAAGGUUACACCGGGCAAAGGGAAGGAGAGUGAGUGACUGGGAAAAUGAGAUCAAGUCUUUUUUCGCCUUUUCCCUAAUCCUGGACUAGGCAGAGGCCAAAGCAGGCCCAGCGGAGCUUAUAGCAGCUAAAAGGCUGCUGCAAAUUCUGCCAGCCUCAGUGGUUCCUUGUGGACGACCAUGCCAGCUGGAUCCUUUCUGCCCCAUUCUGAUUCCUCUCUGUAGCAAUAUGCCCUUUGCUCAAAAAUGAGCAAAGCUCUCACUGUGCCAGCUGCCACAGGGAUCUUCGGCUGCUUAUUGAAGACAUUAUCUCUAGGGCUACGUCAGCAAACCAGGUCCUACAGCGGUCUCCAAAUGGUGCAGGGAUCCACACGUCAUUGAAAUGUAGCCCUUCCCAGAGCUGAGCACAGGAGCUGAAUAACACUGCGCAACUUUAGGACCACUGGGCAGAAUGGAAUAAACCAGCGUCCUGCUGAAGCUAGAGGUAAAUUUAGGUUGGAAGAAGAUACAGUGAUUUUCCCGAGCAGUGCAGCAGAUUUAACAGACUCUCAAUUCUUGCAAAAUAUCUAAAGGGCAUUCCUUGAUUGCAAGGCAUAGAGAUGUUCAGUGACAUGUCUACGGCUGUGGAGCAAGUCCGUAGAAAAAGUAGUAACAGUUCCUACAUCCCCUGCCUGCCCACUGCACUGCUCUAUAAAGCAGCUUCUGUUUGAAGAGCGAAAGGGAGAAGAGUCAGAUAAUAGGCUUGAGGAUAAAAGAAGUGACAUCAAAAUCUUUCAACAUCCAUGUCAUUAGUGGAUCAGAGGAUGGGCUGUCAUUGACUCUUCUGGCCUUAAACGCUACAGCAUUCAACAAGGAAAUGGUAAGUUUUCAGGGAAUUGGAAAGCUGUGGACUUUCAGGUCAUGUUUAAUCAUUUUUUACAAAGAAGCUCUAUUUGUAAUACCCCUGCUGUCAAAGCAUCAGUGGAUUAACAGGACUAGCAGGUAAUUCUGCUUUAACAUCAAUACUGGUAUAACACUAUAUGCUGCCUACAGCUUAAUAGGAAUAUUUGAAAAAUGUAUUUGUGAAGUGACAGUAUGAAGUGAGUAAUAGCCAUAGAAUGUGGGUAAGAAAAUUAUCACAAAGGGUAGAACAAAUAUUCAGGGCUCAUGCAAGCCAUUAAAGAGAUAGAGUCUCCUUUGCAGGCUCCAGUCCACUGCUGGCUCCCUAGUCUGAGUUUCCCUCCUUUACCUUUAGCCCCAAAGUCACUGAAGUGGGAACGGGAUCUCCUGGAAGAUGAGUCACCCCACCACCUGAGGUACUGUCUGAAGUACCUCUUUUCAGAGAGCGUGAACUGGUCAUUCUCCAUUCCUAUUGAAGGUGCCCUAGACAUCCAGCUCUGACGGGACUAUAACAGCUGAUGAGUGCAGAGCUGACUCUUGUCCAUUGUGCACAGCCUUCAGAUAGCUCACAAAUGUCUUCCCAAAGCCUUUCCUACUAUAGGGAAACCUCCAGUCUGAUGGGACUAUUCUGGAAGCAACCCACUAACUAAAACAUGAGGCAAGCCUGGGCUAGAAACAGUCUCAACCCCUUCUGUUGGAGCUGUGGCAACCAAAACGUAUUGUAGCAAGAGGUAAGAAAGCGAUAAAAGAGCUUUUAGCCUUGUAGCCGGGCAUUCAGGAAGAUUUUAGUACUGAAGCCUCUUUAUAUUAAAUUGUCCUUGUCAAAGGGCACCUCCAAAUGUGCCCUUACUGCCAGCCUGUGUAGUCAUGCCAGUUUUUCACUUCGGGCCUAAUUGGUCUAACAAAACAAAAAGGAACAAUUCUGGCAGGACUAAUGGCCCCACAGUGCUGUGGAGAGAUGGGAUAUGGGGGCCUGAGGGUCUCUUUUCGAAGAAGUGAAUUUCCUAGCCUAUAUAUGUUUUAAGAAAAGAUAAUGGCACUGCUGACACCUCCUUUUCAGAAGACGGGGAUGCUCAUUUUUUCUGUUCUGAA